rnacentral:rRNA from 1 species
GAUGAACGCUAGCGGGAGGCCUAACACAUGCAAGCCGAGCGGUAUUGUUUCUUCGGAUAUGAGAGAGCGGCGUACGGGUGCGUAACACGUGUGCAACCUGCCUUUAUCUGGGGGAUAGCCUUUCGAAAGGAAGAUUAAUACUCCAUAAUAUAUUGAACGGCAUCGUUUAAUAUUGAAAGCUCCGGCGGUUAGAGAUGGGCACGCGCAAGAUUAGCUAGUUGGUGAGGUAACGGCUCACCAAGGCGAUGAUCCUUAGGGGGGCUGAGAGGGUGAUCCCCCACACUGGUACUGAGACACGGACCAGACUCCUACGGGAGGCAGCAGUGAGGAAUAUUGGUCGAUGGGUGCAAGCCUGAACCAGCCAUCCCGCGUGAAGGACGACUGCCCUAGGGGUUGUAAACUUCUUUUGAAUAGGGAUAAACCUACCCUCGAGAGGGUAGCUGAAGGUACUAUAAGAAUAAGCACCGGCUAACUCCGUG